UACUGUGAAGGAAAGGUGAAAAGGACCCCGGGAGGGGAGUGAAAGAGAACCUGAAACCCUGUGUUUACAAGCUGUGGGACAUCUUUACAUGAUGAACCGCGUACUUUUUGUAGAACGGUCCGGCGAGUUGCGGAUGCCGGCAAGGUUAAGCACUUAAGGUGUGGAGCCGAAGGGAAACCAAGUCUGAAGAGGGCGCAUAUAGUCAGUAUCCGCAGACCCGAAACCGGGUGAUCUACCCAUGUCCAGGUUGAAGUUGCCGUAAAAGGCAAUGGAGGACCGAACGCACAUCCGUUGAAAAGGGUGGCGAUGAGGUGUGGGUAGGGGAGAAAUUCCAAUCGAACCCGGAGAUAGCUGGUUCUCCUCGAAAUAGCUUUAGGGCUAGCCUCGAUGGAGUCUUACGGAGGUAGAGCACUGAAUUUCUAAGGGGGCGUCAAAGCUUACCAAGGGAUAUCAAACUCCGAAUGCCGUAAAGAUGCUCAUCGGGAGUCAGACUGCACGAGAUAAGUUGGGCAGUCAAAAGGGAAAGAGCCCAGACCUGCUGCUAAGGUCCCAAAGUACGUGUUAAGUGGAAAAGGAUGUGGGAUUUCGAAGACAACUAGGAUGUUGGCUCAGAAGCAGCCACACAUUCAAAGAGUGCGUAAUAGCUCACUAGUCGAGAGGUCCUGCGCCGAAAAUGUCCGGGGCUGAAACACAACACCGAAGCUCAGGAAUGUAUUUAUACAUUGGUAGAGGAGCAUUCUUAAAGGGGCGAAGCAGUACCGAUAAGGAGCUGUGGACUUUUAAGAAGAGAGAAUGCCGGAAUGAGUAGCGAGAUGGAGGUGGGAAUCCUCCAGGCCGAAUAUCCAAGGUUUCCAGAGUAAAGCUGAUCUGCUCUGGGUAAGUCGGGGCCUAAGGUAAGGCUGAGAAGCGUAGCCGAUGGACAACAGGUUGAGAUUCCUGUACCGCGUAUCAUCAGAACUGUGGGGACACAGAAGGACAGCACAUCCCGGGAAUGGAAAGACCGGGGCAAGCAGGGUAGGAGUUAAGCUGGCAAAUCCGCUUAACAAUCCGAAGCUGUGAUGCGGAGCGAAUUUAAGUAGCGAAGUGUGCGAUUCCGGCUGUCAAGAAAAGCCGCUAUUGUGUGAUACGUGCCCGUACCGUAAACCGACACAGGUAGAUGAGGAGAGAAUCCUAAGGCCGGCGGGAGAAGCAUUGUUAAGGAACUCGGCAAAAUGACCCUGUAACUUCGGGAGAAAGGGUGCCUGGGAAACCAGGCCGCAGAGAAUAGGCUCAAGCAACUGUUUAGCAAAAACACAGGUCUAUGCAAAACCGUAAGGUGAGGUAUAUGGGCUGACGCCUGCCCGGUGCUGGAAGGUUAAGAGGAGGGGUUAGCGCAAGCGAAGCAUUGAAUUGAAGCCCCAGUAAACGGCGGCCGUAACUAUAACGGUCCUAAGGUAGCGAAAUUCCUUGUCGGGUAAGUUC
rnacentral:rRNA from 1 species